rnacentral:rRNA from 1 species
UACGUAGGGGGCUAGCGUUGUCCGGAAUCAUUGGGCGUAAAGAGCGUGUAGGCGGCCCGGUAAGUCCGCUGUGAAAGUCGGGGGCUCAACCCUCGGAUGCCGGUGGAUACUGUCGGGCUCGAGUACGGAAGAGGAGAGUGGAAUUCCUGGUGUAGCGGUGAAAUGCGCAGAUAUCAGGAGGAACACCGGUGGCGAAGGCGGGAUCCUGGGCCAGUACUGACGCUGAGGAGCGAAAGCGUGGGGAGCAAACAGG